rnacentral:rRNA from 1 species
GCUGGCGGCGUGCCUAAUACAUGCAAGUCGAGCGGAUUGAUGGGAGCUUGCUCCCUGGUAUCAGCGGCGGACGGGUGAGUAUGACGUGGGUAACCUGCCUGUAAGACUGGGAUAACUCCGGGAAACCGGGGCUAAUACCGGAUAACUCAUUUCCUCGCAUGAGGAAAUGUUGAAAGGUGGUUCUGGCUACCACUUACAGAUGGACCCGCGGCGCAUUAGCUAGUUGGUGAGGUAACGGCUCACCAAGGCAACGAUGCGUAGCCGACCUGAGAGGGUGAUCGGCCACACUGGGACUGAGACACGGCCCAGACUCCUACGGGAGGCAGCAGUAGGGAAUCUUCCGCAAUGGACGAAAGUCUGACGGAGCAACGCCGCGUGAGUGAUGAAGGUUUUCGGAUCGUAAAGCUCUGUUGUUAGGGAAGAACAAGUGCCGUUCGAAUAGGGCGGCACCUUGACGGUACCUAACCAGAAAGCCACGGCUAACUACGUGCCAGCAGCCGCGGUAAUAC